AACACAGACUUACCAUUUUGUAACCUUAGAGGUCAGAGUCUUAGUAAAGGCUGUGUUUGUUCAGAGUUUGGGGAUAAAACCCUUGUCCUUUCCAGCUCCCAGAGGCUGGUUGUGUUUUCUAAUUCAACUCAUGGCCUGUGUCCCUCCAACCUCUGUCUCUGUGGUCACAUCUCCUUCCCUGACUUCGGCUCUCACCCGUAUCUUAUGGAGACCAUUUGCCUUUGGCCACGUGAACAAUCCUGUACCAUCUUUUCGCCUCGAGAUCCACAAUUUAAUCCUGUCUGGAAAGAAAGCCGUUUGCUCUCCCAGGCUUUGGACAAGCCAUUGUUCCAUUUACCACUGUCACCAUUUAGGGAAGUCACACACUUACCGUAAUACUCUUCUCUCGUUGGUGUCUUGCUGUGUCCUCUAGAGUCCCAUUGUCAGACAUUCAAUUUAAAAAGCUCCUUACUGUCAGACUCCUACCCUGCAGGCAUGGAGGGAGAGAAGGAUAAUGAAGCCUUGGACAGUCAGCCCAGGAAUCCCAGACAACAGAACUCUUUACAGUUUCAUGAAGCAUCGAACGAGUGCUGUGGUCCGCACUGUCAGAAGCUCCGCAUUAAAGUAUAAUGAUGGCUGCAGAGGCGGAGUGGCCAGGAAGAGUGGGAAGGCCGUGAGUGAAGGGAAAGGAAAACAUGUCAACUGAGACUGGGAAGAGAGAGUCAGAAGGAGCCCCACUGGACUUGCCUGGGUUGCAGUAAACACCUUGGGCUGUCUCUAUGAAGAUAAAGCUGUCAAUUAAAACUAACUGUAAAUUCU
rnacentral:lncRNA from 1 species